CUGGCUGCCUCAGAUCUUCCUCUUCUCAUCUAUGCAGCAGAAGAAAUUAUGUUGCGUGAAUAUCAGCAUGAAAUGGGUAAAUGCCUCUAAAGCCUCUGACAAUGUUUUCCAACCAAAAGGUUUUAACUUGAAACUUUCUCAUAAAAAAUACAGAUGCUCAGCUGGUAAUCAAUCAUCUCUAAUUAUGCUUUGGAGAAACUUCAUAUGCAGAGAUAUUCAACUUGUCAUAGCUACAAUUUAAAGUCCCUUGAUUGACCGUGUGGUGAGACUUGGAGACAGGUUGAGGUGGAGAAUCAGGACAUAGAAUUGCAUUUCUGAAAAAAAUGGCUUGAAAGCAGCCUAAUGGAAAGAGGUAGCAGAUUCCAAAAGUCAUGGGAAUGGAAGUCAGAGAGCUUCAAGUAAGGAGGACUGAAUGAGUGAUAAGUAAAAGCAACAAAUGCAGAUUGAGUAAUUCUAUAAGAAAUUUAAUCAUGUUAAGAAGACCAAAGAAUGGGUCAGAAUGAGGAAAGAUUCUUGAAAGCUAGAGUAGAUUUGAGCAUGUUUACCUAGAAGAAGAGCCAGUGAAGAUGGAGAGAUUGACGAUAGAAAAGAGCAGGAAUAAUUGUUAAAAAUUCUUGGAGGAAGGUUUUAGGAGAAAAUUCAGGAGCUCAUGUGGAGGGGUUAGCAAUAGCAGAGAAGCAGAAUACCUCUUGAGAAACUAAAAUGAGCUUAGAAAGAAUUAUAAAUAUACAGAAUGUGAUGGUUAAUUUUAUGUGUCAACUUGGAUAGUCAAUGAUACAUGAUUGUUUGGUUAAACACCAGUCUAGGUUUUGCUAUGCAGGUAUUCUUUUAGAUGUGAUUUACAUUUAAAUUAGUGGAUUCUGGGUAAAACAUUAUUUUCCAUGAAGUGUGUGGGCCUCAUCCAAUCAGUUGCAGGCCCUAAGAGCAAAAUCUGAGAUUCUUGAGGAAAAAAAGAAUUCUGCCUACAGAUGGCUUUUGAACUUGGACUCCAACAUUAACUCUUCCCCCAGCCUCCACCCUAUUGAAUUUUCCAGUCCCACAAUUGUGUGAACCAAAUCCCUAAAAUAAAUGUUUUUUUCUCUAUAUAUGUUGGUUUGCA
rnacentral:lncRNA from 1 species